UUUGGUAGGUGUUUUUUGUUAAUACAUUUAUUUUAUUUGCCUGUCAAAAAAAUAAAAUAAAAUUGAAGAGUAGUUAAUCAGAAAGCAUUGGAGUUGUUUGGAAGAGACUUAGGGUUCUAAGAAUCACCUUGUCAAGUUUGCUUCAAUCGUCAGUAUUAGCAGUACUAUUGGUUUGCAUCAGUUUUAUUGUAAGUAAUCAUUUGUGGAAUCAUUUUCUGCUUCACAGGUCCCUCUAAACAAUAUGUUUGGGUACUCAACAUCACUUCGUUCAAUGACUCAGGGGAAAGGUGAAUUCAUAAUGGAAUACAAAGAGCAUUCACCGGUUUCUCAAGAUGUGCAGCUGCAAUUAGUGAACACCUACAAGGCCAAUAAGGCAGCUGAAAAUAGUUAGGAUUCUGCUGUGACUUUUUGAGAAACACGUCCCUACAUUCAUAGUGUAAGCCAUCUCUUAUUUUUUUAUAUUUAUCCGGGCCAAAAGUGUUCUGGUCUCUAAAUUUUGACAAGCCAAAUAAUUGUUACCUACAUUCUUUAAUACAAAUAAUGUAUGAAAUCACUGUACUUUAAACAGGUAUUCAUCACAGUCAAAUUGUCUUAAAAAGGAUAAAAGGGCUAUGCAAUUUUCAUCUCCUUCUCUCUCAAA